GCCGGGGGUGGGGGGGAGCGGAGCAAGCAAGAACAGGGUAGCCAGGGGGAGAUGAGCAGAGAAGCAAACCACGCACUAUCUCCUUGAUCAUUUCAACACGCCAGGAGACAAGUCCUGCGUCAUCCUCGUGUCACAAAUGAGGCAACCAAGGCACAGAGAAAGGAAGCACCUUUCCCGCGGUCACACGGCCAGGAACUGGUGGAGCCAGGAGUCUGACCACAGGACAGUGUGACGCUUUGCUGCCGCCACCCACAGCGCCCCUCUCCAGACACCGACCCUACUACCACCUGGCUGAUGUGUAAUCACUCCUGGAGUCCUUGCAGCGAUGUGUCUGGAGAGAGAGCUCAGAGGAGAGGGGUGCACUUCUCAGAACCCUCUUUUGACCCCGUGCCCUGGCUGGAAAGCCCGGUCGCUCGGUGAGAGGUCAGAGGCCUCCCUGGACCGUCUUCACCAGGGUUUGAGCUGACCCCAAGCAAAGCAGGAACUCCACGGGCGGCGGGGCUCAUCACCUGUGUACUCGGUCGGUCGCACAGUUCCUCCCCCCAGGGACCAGCAGCAUCCCUGCCAAGAGCCCGCCCUCGAUGGCCCCUCCAGCCUCACCUUAUACAGGUAAAGCUUGUUCUCAGAACUCUUGAGAUCCAGCUCCAGGUCCAACGCUGCGAUGCCCUCCUUGUUGACCUUGAUGUGUCUCGGUUUGGAGGUGGCGUUGAUGUACUGGGGAAGACGAACCAGCCAAGGGAGCCCUCUGAGCACUCUCCUUGGGGCUCCAAACCCUCAGCCCCCAUCCCCCAGCAGCCCCGCCCAGCAGGCAUCUGCCCGGUUUACAACCGGGAGGCUGGGUCCCGUGUCAAAGCAGGUGGAGGGGCCCAGAGGGGGGAAGCUGGGCCCCUGGCUGGGAGGCUGGACGAACCACCUUCAUGCUGAUAACAUGCUAUUUUCAAGGUCUCAGAAAUCAAGGAUCUCAAGGGAACAAAAGAACAACUGUUAUCAGGCAAGAGAAGCAACAACAGCAAAGACAAGACACCAGUUGUGAAGACUGCAGCUCUGAGUCGAUGGUGAAGAUCAGCCUGACGCUCAGCCACCAGGUCAACGGGAACCUCAGGGAUGGAGAAGUUGACCUUCUGUGACCCCCGUGACUUCCGUCAACUGAAGCCCGGACCCUGUCGAUCUUUGCCCUGAUUCUACGCCGACUUCUCCCCUGCUCAGGCCCCUUCAUGAACACACACGUACCCUUAGCUUAAAGCCUCCCCGGUCUUACAGUUGGGGAGGCACGGCUUUGGGAAAGUUCCCCAUGGUUUCCUCACUUGCCGCAAGCAAUGAAUCCUUCCUUCUCCUGGUCUUUGGCCUGGUUGUGUCUUUUGGCUCGACACCCACCAAGAGGUGAACCCAGUCUUUUGGGUAAGAGGACCUCUGCCCCGCUGAAACUGUGCACCUCAGAUUGGGACUCGAACCCACAUGCCAGGGCUCAAACCCGGCCAAAACCCAGAUUGGGACUUGAACCCAUGCGGCCGGGACUCGAACCCGGCCAAAACCCGUGGUCUUCCAACUGAGAUCACACACCUUGUUUCAGGACUUAAUGAAGCUCAGGUUCUCUCUCUCUCUUUUUUUUAUUAAAUUUAUUUAUUUAUUUAUGGCUGUGUUGGGUCUUCGUUGCUGUGCGCGGGCUUCCUCUAGCUGUGGCGAGCGGGGGCUACUCUUUGUUGCGGUGCGCGGGCUUCUCAUUGCGGUGGCUUCUCUUGUUGUGGAUCACAGGCUCUAGGCGCGCAGGCUUCAGUAGUUGCAGCACGUGGGCUCAGCAGUUGUGGCUCGCAGGCCCUAGAGCGCAGGCUCAGUAGUUGUGGCGCACGGGCUUAGUUGCUCCGCGGCGUGUGGGAUCUUUCCAGACCAGGGCUCGAACCUGUGUCCCCUGCAUUGGCAGGUGGAUUCUGAACCACUGUGGAAGCCCGAAGCUCAGGUUCUUGAUGUCUCAUCACAGAAAGAAUUCAGUGAGAGACAAAGUGAUAGAUAAGAAGUGGAUUUAUUUAGAGAGAAACACACUCCACAGAGAGAGUUGGCCAUCUCAGAAGGUGAGAAAGGCACCAGGGUGUGGGGCUGUCAGCUUUUAUAGGGGUGGGUAAUUUCAUAGGCUAAUGAGGGGGAGGAGUAUUAUAGCUAUUUCAGGAAGGGGCGGGGACUUCCAGGAAUUGGACCACCGCCCAUUUUUUGAUCCUUCUGGUCGGCCUUGGAACUGUCAUGGCACCUGUGGGUGUGUCAUUCAGCUUACUGAUGUGUUACACUGAGCGUAUCCUGAGGCUCACGGUGUAGUGGAAGUCGACUGACCACCAUCUUGGACCCACUUGGUUCUAAUCAGUUUAUGUCAUGUCCUCGGGCUAUGUCAUUCUUUCAAAGGUUUCUAAUCAGUUUACGUCAUGUCCUCGGGCUAUGUCAUUCUUUCAAAGGUUUCUAAUCAGUUUACGUCAUGUCCUCGGGCUAUGUCAACCAUUCUUUCAGAGGUUGUGCCCUGCCCCCUUCCCUCCUGUUUCAAGUUUGUCCCAUUGUACCGAUGAGGAAACUUGGGUUGGAAGAAGUUAAUUUUCCCAGCUCAAGGGUCGGGGGGCUGGGAUUUAGAAUUGACUUUUGUGACUUCAAAGCCCAGGCCUUUCCACUUCACCUUCUGCCUCUCCUUGAACAUGUGUAAAGUACUCUGUGUGGGAAGCAGGGGCGGUGGGGGGGGGGGGCAAGCCCGUGACCCAGCUCGGGCCUGGCCCGGGGCUCUGGCAGUACUCUGCUGAGUCAUCCCACCGUGGGGCAGUGACCAGGGCCUCCUCCCCGCUGCUUGACGCUCCUCUUCACAUCAGAGCGGACUGACCUGGGCAUCCGCGAGGCCCCCUUACCUCUCCAGGCCCGGGGCCUCCACUCCAGAGG